rfam:Triticum aestivum genome assembly, contig: Triticum_aestivum_CS42_TGACv1_scaffold_580281_7BL
CUUAUACUCCCUCCGUCCGGAAAUACUUGUCAUCAAAUUGAAUAAAAGACGAUGCAUCUAGACAUAUUUUAGUUCUAGAUACAUCUCUUUUUAUCCAUUUUGAUGACAAGUAUUUUCGGACGGAGGGAGUAUUUG